CUCAGGGUUGUGAGUUUGAGCCCACAUUGGGUGUGGAGAUUACUUAAAAAUAAAAUCUUUAAAAAAAAAAAAAGGAUAUCUUUAUAUUACUAAAUUAGACCCUGACAGAAAGCUUCCUUGCCUCCCAACGUAAAUGUAGAAGGUACUUUUAUAAAACAGAUGAUUUGGAGCUGAAAUUUCAUCUCACUCUUGUUGAACAGAGAGCUGGUAAGAGCAUACCCUGGGGCAUGCUGGGCUGCAGGGUGAAAUUGGCACCUCUCUGGAUUUAUGCACACUGCACUCUGUUGGAGCAUGGUGGUGAGGAGGCUACCAAGUGCCAAGGCGAU
rnacentral:lncRNA from 1 species